CUUUGCCUUGAGGAACCCGACGAGAUCACUAAGCGCAGCGUCGGCUCCGUCGUUCCUCAUCAGAACCUCGGCAACCUCUGCCGGUGUGAUCGGCACCUCCUCCAUCAGCUUCUCGAUCUCCGGAUAUAUGGUGUGGUCAUCUUCGACGAAGUGGUAGUUCCUGGCCAGGAUCCUGAAGGACUCCGAGGUGCAAUAUCCCAUGUGGAUGUGCAUGUCCAUCCUACCAGGCCGCAGCAGUGCCGGGUCGAGCCGCUCCUUGUAGUUGGUGGUGAAGACGAUGAUCCUCUCCUCCCCGCUCGUCGACCACAGCCCGUCGACGAAGUUGAGCAGCCCGGACAACUAAUUGAGACAAACCUUGUCCUCGUUGUCUUCUCCUCCGAUGAAGCUGUGCCUGGCACGCCUCUCGCCGCCUUCGUGGCCGCGCUGUGGCAGAUCGACGCUGCAGUCGAUGUCCUCGACGACGAGGAUGGAGCGGUUGCUCAUGCCGACGAGCAGCCUGCGGAGGUCCGAGUUGGACUUGACCUCGGUCAGCUCGAGGUCGUAGAUGUCGAACUUGAGGUAGUUGGCCAUGGCGGCUACGAGGCUAGACUUGCCGGUGCCCGGCGGGCCAUAGAGCAGGUACCCGCGCUUCCACGCCCUGCCGGUCCUGCGGUAGUAGUCCUUCCUCCCGACGAACCGCUCGAGGUCGUCCAUGACGGACCGCUUGAGGUCGCCGUCCAUGGCGAUCGUGUCGAAGGUGGAGGGGUGGCGGAGGUCCACGGGGGUCCACGCGUCGUACUC
rnacentral:rRNA from 1 species